GAAGAGGAUCUGUUGUAUGAUUUUCGAGUGUUCAACUGAAUGUUUUGAAUCACAGUUCUUUCAUAUGUUUUACAGAGUACUAGGAUGUGGUUCCACAUUAUUGAAAGAAGCUCAAAACUUAUAUAAUUAACCCUUUUUUUUGGUGGGGGAAGUUACUUAUGGUUUCCUAUCUAUAUAUUUCAGUUCUUUGGAUUUUAUAUCCAUCUUAUUCUAUUCCAAGGGUUUACCAUUGACAUUACAAUGAUAAAGUUGCAGAAAAUAUAGAACAACGUUUUAGAGAGUCGGGGCAAUGGGGAUGAUAGAGUUGUGCAUCCUUAUGAAGAAGAGAAAAAAUCUACCACAACUGAAUUUAUAGAGUACUGGGUUCCUGUGAGGCUAUCCAACAUACAGACAGAGCAGUAUUGUGGCUCUCUGUUUUCAAAUUCAACUCCUUUGUGCUCUUCUUAUAAGUUCGAUAACCUAAAAGUCCUUCAUGAGAUACUUGUCUCAACCAAAAAUGUAAGCAUCUUCAUUGGAAUUUGAGGCUCCAGGUUCAGAUUCAAACAACUUUUAUAGUUAUUGGCUUUAGAAUUGAUACUCAAAUGCUGAUUUUUAUGUUCUACUUUUUGUAUGUACUCAUUGUUGUCUGAUUAUUUAUAACUAUUCCUGAGGUUGUGAUAUGACAAACACUCUGUUCCAGUGCUGUGAUCACCCUUAUCUUGUGGAUCAGUCUUUGCAUACCUCUCUGAUACAAGGUAUUCCGCAAGCUGAGCAAUGGGAUGCACAAAUUAGAUUGAGUAGCAAAUUGUAUAAGGCCCUAAUGGAGAUUAACAAGCGAGGAUUAAGAGUACUUAUCAAUCUCAUAUUUCUGAUUCUUGGCCAACUAAAAGCAUUUUUUACAUUUUGAUUCUUGAGUUGUUCUACUAAGUUAUCGGUCUUUGAAUUAUAUUGCUUCUCUUAUAUGUUUCUCAGUACAUUUGAUGUAGACGGUAGACCUAUAUAAUCUUAUGAGGGAUUUUACAUACAAAUAUAUGUCUCUUGAAACACUCAAUUGAAGGUUCUGGACCAAUCACUAUAGGAGAUAUGUUGGAUGAUAUUAUUCAUGAAAAGUUUGGUGGGGAUUCAAUUGUGUGUACGUAUUGAUGGAAAUAUAGGUCGGUCGAACAGACGAGAAGUUCUUGACACUUUCAAUGAAAAAGAUGGUGGGAAAUUCGUCUUCUUGAUGGAAACUCGUGCCUGUGUUUCAAGCAUUAAACUUAAAUCCAUAGACACUGUAAUUUUCUCCAAUGAAUGACUUGAAGGCUCUACAGAAGAUCAAUCUGGAGUCCCAAUUUAAGCAGGUGAAGGUGUUCCGAUUAUAUUCAGCAUAUACUGUAGAGGAGAAGGCAUUGAUUCUUACCAAGCUAGGCAUGGCUCCAGUUGGCGAUGUGCGCCAUAUAAGGCAACGUACAUGCCACAAGUUGCUAACCUGGGGUGCCUACUAUUCAUUUGACAAGCUUCAAGAGUUCCAUGCAGUCAGAGAUACUACAAUUGAUUCUUAUGGAAACUGGUUUGUGGAAGAUGUUUUCCACGAGCUGUCAAACCUAUUACCUAACAAUGACAAGAGUAAUGUUGUUGAUGUCCAAAGCUCAACAAUUUUGAAAGUACAGCAGAUUGGAGGUGUUUACCCCACCGAUAUAUCUUUGUUAGGUGAAUUAGGGUAUCCUCUCAUGGACAACAUUUCAGUGAUUGAGGAGAUGUUAACCAAAGAACCACCCUACAUUUUCUGGAUAAAUAUACUCCAAGGGAGGACGCCUAGCUGGAAGUACUUUUCUUAUAAAUCACCUAGGACUAGGAAAGGUGUUCAAUUGCUUGAUUAUUCACCCGAGGAAUGUGGUGGACCUACCAAGAAAUGCAGGACAACGGCCGGAACCAUUGCUUGCCGAACUUCAGUUGCCUUGUGUUGAUCCUGAUUAAAGUGAUCACCAACUGAAAUCAGAAUCUUCUUUGCAACAUUGUGCAGGAGCCCCCACGCAAAGAGCUCCAAUUGUAAGAGCACGAGAAACCUGCCCAGGAACUCAUAUUGAGGUAUUUCAAUCUGUCUGUAAUGCUCUACAGACGGAGUUGUAAAAACUAGAGAAAUGCAAAACUGAAUCUUCAAAACAGCACAAAGAUAUGGUUUGUCAUCCAAACUCCACAUUUAGAGCCACAUCACAAGUAUUAGCUUGUUUAACUCACAUAACAGUUGGGCCUCCAAUGAUCAACCUGCAAUCGAGAUUGGCAUACGAGAGAGAGGUUGAUGAGAUACACAAGAAGUAUGAGGCAAUGCUUCAGACUGCUGAGGUGGCUUUUCUGGAGGAGAAAAAAGCCAUUGACAGUAGAUACAACAAAAUAUUCGUCAGUAAGGCAUUUGUCGAGGCAUUGAUGCAGACGGAUAACAAAAGUGCACCUCACACGCAAGUUUUGGCAACAAAGUUUUCAGUGGAGCAGGCACAUCGACUCAUUUUUGAUAGGCUUCAAUCAAGAGCUGAACAUAGGUCAGCAACAUCCAGCUGCUCAGAUCUCCACCAUCAUCAAGCGAGUGGUCUGAGGGCGCCUGCGCCACAUUUGAGGCUUUCUCCGGCUUGCACGGUUCCAACACUACCGUCUGAGCCCCCAAGGACAACCUUUUCGCCAGUUAGCCUUGAGCAGGUGACAUUCCCCUUAACGCCGUAAAAGAAACCUUUAUCGUUAUUUCAGGCAGCUAUACGACUUGCUGAGAUGCCAACAAAACCGAAAAGGAGAUCCACACGUGUACAUACAUAGCCUCUCUUUUUUUGCUUUAAGUUGGGAGAGGACAGGCAGAAAAAACCAAUAUGUUUUUGCAUUAAACACCAAUUUGUUGGUAUUUGAUGAACUAAAUAUGAUAUCCAACAUA